GACGAACGCUGGCGGCGUGCUUAACACAUGCAAGUCGAACGGAAAGGCCCUGCUUUUGUGGGGUGCUCGAGUGGCGAACGGGUGAGUAACACGUGAGUAACCUGCCCUUGACUUUGGGAUAACUUCAGGAAACUGGGGCUAAUACCGGAUAGGAGCUCCUGCUGCAUGGUGGGGGUUGGAAAGUUUCGGCGGUUGGGGAUGGACUCGCGGCUUAUCAGCUUGUUGGUGGGGUAGUGGCUUACCAAGGCUUUGACGGGUAGCCGGCCUGAGAGGGUUACCGGCCACAUUGGGACUGAGAUACGGCCCAGACUCCUACGGGAGGCAGCAGUGGGAAGUAUUGCACAGUGGGCGGAAGCCUGAUGCAGAAGCGCCGCGUGCGGGAUGACGGCCUUCGGGUUGUAAACCGCUUUCGCCUGUGACGAAGCGUGAGUGACGGUAAUGGGUAAAGAAGCACCGGCUAACUACGUG
rnacentral:rRNA from 1 species